GCCAGCUAGGAGGAAUAGACCCUCAUGGAGUCCAGGGAAACCCCUGCUUUGUUCCCUCUGGACGCAGUGCGUGUGUGCUGGCUGCCCAGCCUCAGCUGUGUCCUGUGGAGUUUCCUGGACUCACGAGAAGCCCCGGACAAGUGUAUUAGGGGCAUCCCAGGGAGGGCCGACCAAGACUGGCAGGAAGCCGAGGGAUGGAGCGGUCACCGAAACCUAGCUUGGACUGUGCGGCCUGGGAGGGAAUGAGGACGGACUUUCCACUUGGCUGGAUUUGACAGAGAUUUCAGAAACAAAAGUCACGUGAUACUGAGGCCAUUUCGAUUUUCGGAACUUGGACAUUGCUGCCAUUUUCAGUUGUUUAAAGUAUAUCCCACUGGAUGGUCCAGAGUGUGGCUCCAGAGUCACACAGCCACACACCCACUGACUGCAUGGCCUUGAGCAAGUUACUUUACCUCUCUGAACCUUGGUUUCGUCCUCUAUAAAAUGGGAUGGUGGUACUGCUCCUAAGGCUGUGUGGGCAUGCAGAAGUUUACUACGCCAGCUGCCUAGCCAUGGCCAGCCCUAGGUAAAUGAUGGUCUCCUCUCUUCCCUUCAUUCCCCUAGAGCUUGGAUGGGGCUCUUAGUUGGGCUUCUAUUCUGGCUCAUCUCCCGGAGACUCAUGGCCUGGACAUAUUCCUUGCACCGCCUACCUUUCCUCCGGAUGCAGGUGGUGAGUGAGGCCACCUGUCAGAUCCUCUGGUGAAAGAACCGCCCCAGUCAAUCAGAAGCCCAAGAAUGAUGUCAUCGCCACCUUCUGCUGGGGUUCCACAUCUGGCUGGUUACCAUGGCGAGCAAUUGCUCAGAGGACAGCCCAAAGAGAAACACUGUAAGGAUGGAAAGUCUAGGCCAGCAGGCCCAGGGGAGAGGCGUGGGAAUCCCAGGGCUCGGCCCCAGAAACCACUGAGACCCAGGCCCCUCCUACACACACUGCAUCUGUCCCACCCCUAGGGCAGCCCCGGAGCAGCUGAGGAGCCACAGAUAGCACGCCAGGACCUGGGCAAGAGAAGCCGUUCUCGAUGGGCGCCUCUCCACCUCUGCCCUGUGCUGCUGUCCUUAGAGCGCUGGCCCUGAUCCGCCUGCCUGUACCCUUGCCAGGGAUCCACAAGUCACCUAAGGGGAAAUGACACGGUGCUGAGUGUUCCCUGUCAGAGGCUGCCAGCCCAGUGGAUCAUCACGAGAAACUACACACGCAAGUCCGCAGUCACCCCUGGCCACAAAAACACCCGACUGUGAAGGGAGUUGAAGAGUCACACUGGAGAGGUUUGAAGACAGAGGCCACGUCGGGGCAGGCCCUGGAAACGUGUUUUCAGGGGGUUCUGCCAUGGCCGGCGUGUGGGUUACUGAGCCGUGUUACGCAGUCUCUGGAAGGCCUGGCCCCACGCAGUCCCAGUGCCAGGACUGUCGCUUGGACAGCGCGCUCCCUCGUGGUCCCCUUCUGCCCACGUGGAGCAGCAGUGGCUCUCAAGAGGCCAUCCAGCCCAGGGUUCAAAAGCCCCGUCAUUUCAGCUUCAGCAACAACCUCAGUCGGUCUGGACCCUGCUUGUGUCCGUCUCCUGCCCAUCUCCACCUCCCGGAGGACCCUCCAGCCACAGAGAAGCACCCUCGCACUUCCCAGAUGGGCCCUCCUUCCGCCCGCAGGUCUUUCUUCCCCAUCGCCCCCUCUGUCCACGUCAGGGCUGUGUUAAAGCCACUGACAUGUCACUGGAAAUGCACGGAGUUGGGAAAAUUGCAUGGACUAGAGCUUCUCUUGGGGAGAACACUGCAUGUGGUUCAAAGGAAGUCUUGGACAAGACACUCAGAGAGGAGUACUCAUCCCAGUGCUCAGCCCAAAGUGUGUCCCCUGGAGUGUUCGUGAUGGCCGCAGGGGCUCUUAACCUGAGUCAGCAGAGGACACCUCAUUACGCCCACACACGGCCUGAGGUGCACGUACUUAGCAAAUGGAAUUCCAACAGGCUUGCUGGAGUCUCGCAUGCCUUGCAGUUUGCACCAAGAAGCUGUGCGUGACAGCACUUCCAUCUGGCAGAUGGCCUCACUGGAAUGCACUCAGAAGUCUCGAGAACGGAGGCAUAAACAGAAGCAAAAUUAAUCAGUGCAAUUGUUUUCUCUGCCAUGAACAUGACAUGUCUCUGGAUUUUUGAGGGCAGCAUGCACGGGAAGGACCCGGCUUUGCAUUCUCCACGGCUUUCAAAACCAUGUCAGGUGUCCAACAUGCUUUGAUAGCUGACAUUGGUCUUCCUGCUCACUCUCUGUCUCCUCAAAAACCCUGUCUCGGGCCAGGCCGACAUGCAGCGAGCAGAGCCCUGGGCGCCCAUAGAGGCAGCAGUGCUGAGACCCCCCCACCCUGAGGAGCCAGACAUUACUG
rnacentral:lncRNA from 1 species